GGGGAAUAUACCAUAGAGACGAGGACAGUGGGGAGUGCUGAUCGCUGGUUCCAGUUGCGUCCUCUCGCCGCAGUCGACGUUGUGCAGGUGGAGAAAGUCAUUCGGAGGGGCGUAUUUUUGACUGAGGAUAAAUGAAAAGGUGAUACUCUGAUGGAAGCUUUAAUUUUCAAUAAUAGGAAAUUCUUGGAGAGCCCAGGGAGAUCCUACGAAACACGCGCAUCAAAGUGCAUUCGUUUACAAUUGGUAGCAUCUUGCACGGCAAGUCAUGCCGAUGUCUGUGGUAUUGCAUAACGCGAGAGAAGCGGUAUCGAGCGUGUUGCUGGAGAGGACUGUUACCGAGAGAAUCGAGGAUGGAACGGGGUGCACAGAAGACCCGACAUGAUUUUAUCUGGUGCGGUGCAUCGUUCGUCCCGGCCAAACGAGUGAAAGUCGAAUGCUGAGUACAAUUCAGCAUCCGAAAGCGGUACCUUGGCUUCUGUUCUUAUUAUACAGGAUUUACGAUCUCGACGAUGAUUAAUAAUUUCUUGUGGGCUCUUUCGAGACACGUUUCCCAUCAUCGUGCUGAGGAAUAUCUUCUUGUAGGAUCUUUCGAGUUUCAGUUCAUGGAUGGAUUUUUUUGAAAUUGACACAAGGACAAUAGGAUCGUAAGUACUUUGUGUUAACCCUUUCGCUGCCAUGGUGGUCCUAUGAGACUGGCGCUUGUCUUUUCACUGGAUGACCACCACUAAGAAAAAUGUGCUAUUGGCAAGAUUGUACCAGUUUUUUGCCAUUAUAAAAUAUUUAAUAUGAAAUUUGUGGCCCACUGGUGCAAAAAUUCGCGUGGCAGCGAAAGGAUUAAGUGAAACGAAGUUACAGUGCAUUUAGAUAAAAGAAGCGUAAAGGCAACGAAUUAAUUUCUGCAAUAACAAUGCAUGGAAGGAUUAUUAUUUAUUUAUCAGAGUAUCGAAUAAUGAAUACUUUGAAGUAUUAGCAUUUGAAAGUAGAUUUUCUACUUUUUUAUUCUUCUUUUAAUUACGUUACAUGAAUGUCUUAAUACUUACCUGUACGAUUUGUGAAUGCACGUAAGGUAUUAUUACCUCGAAUUAAGCAAAAAGUAUGUUAAGUUUAAUUGUGAGAAUAAAAAAAUGGAGGCUCGUUAACACAUUCCAAAGGAGAAUUUCCAUAUUUUCAAGUAAAAAGACAGGUAACGAAGCUUCGAACGCAAGUUUCCCUUCGUCGAUUCAUCGCGGGUUGAUCCGUUCGAAGAAAGUUCUCGUAACGAUUUCGAAACCAGCCCAGAUAUCCACGUUCCGUCCGUAAAUCCGCGGCUUCGUCUGUCAGUAUGUCUGCCUGGCACGUCUUUUCCCUUUCGCGAGAAUCCGGCUAUUUUAUUCCGCGAAGCGUUCAAACGGUUUUCUCUCCGACCGAACUCUGCGCGUUACGACUUUUAAGUGUCCCCCAGUUUUCGACUCCGCCAUUGUUCGUAGCUUUCCUUCGGUGCAAAACGUUCCGCCAUUGUGUUAAAUCAUUGGUAAAUCUACAUUCCAGGGCUGACGUUUUUCUGUCAUACUGUUUUAAGCGUUCGAACUUAUUAAAUGACUGAUUUUGGGAAUGGGAAUGAUCUGACGCAAAUUCAUGACAUAAAAGUAUUUCGAAAUAAGGCUUACGAUAUAUCGAUUUAAAGUUUAAAGUUUAUUGAAAAUAACUACAUAAACGUUUGGUUAAUAUUCUUAAUAUAAAAUGGCUGAUUCUUAAUUGAAGGAACCGAUGGGUUAGCCAACGUGUACCUUAGUUCCAGUGAAAAAUUAGUUAAUUUGUCGUAAGAAUUUUAACGAAACAUUUAUGUAGUCAUUUUCAGGAAAUCUUAAGCUUCAAAUUGAUGUAUCAUAAGUACUGUUUUGUGAUACUUUUAUGUCAUGAAAUUGUAUCAGACUUUAUAGAUAUUGAAUGAAAGUCGCUUCGAAAUUUCACUUCGAACGAAAUGGUAAUUAAAACUUUCUAUGUUAUUGUCACGCGAAACGUGUUAAUCGACAAUUGUAGAACAUGAUGUAAGGUUUUUCAACGUGCUAGAAGUAGUAUGCUCGUUAUGUCACGUGUAAUGUAAUACAUGCAUACGUGAAUAUAAUACUAUAAUCAUAGCGUGAUGAAAGAAUACGGGUUCAGUACAAUGUUUGAUAAUUCAAUUAAUUUUUGCGUUACCAUUAAAUAGUGUUGUCGUACAAUUUUUAAUUAUUCUAGCUUUGAGAUUCAAGUUUCAUUUGCAAACAAAUUGCAAAAUGAAUUCAUAAUGAAUUAAUCCUUGAACGGUGGAGCCUGGAUCAAUCGUGAGGGCUCUCUUCAUGGUCCG